rfam:Porphyromonas cangingivalis strain COT-109_OH1386 contig_65, whole genome shotgun sequence.
UGAUACGUGGAUAGAUUUGUAUGCUUGCAACCACGCGAUAAAAAAUGCUAAAAAGACUCAG